rnacentral:rRNA from 1 species
GACGAACGCUGGCGGCGUGCUUAACACAUGCAAGUCGAGCGGUAAGGCCCUUUCGGGGGUACGACGAGCGGCGAACGGGUGAGUAACACGUGGGUGACCUGCCCUCAGCUCUGGGAUAAGCCUGGGAAACGUGGGUCUAAUACCGGAUAUGACUCCAUGACGCAUGUUGUGGGGUGGAAAGCCUUGUGCGGCUGAGGAUGGGCCCGCGGCCUAUCAGC